AGUGAACGCUGGCGGUAGGCCUAACACAUGCAAGUCGAACGGCAGCACAGUAAGAGCUUGCUCUUACGGGUGGCGAGUGGCGGACGGGUGAGGAAUACAUCGGAAUCUACUUUUUCGUGGGGGAUAACGUAGGGAAACUUACGCUAAUACCGCAUACGACCUACGGGUGAAAGCAUGGGAUCUUCGGACCUUGCGCGAUUGAAUGAGCCGAUGUCGGAUUAGCUAGUUGGCGGGGUAAAGGCCCACCAAGGCGACGAUCCGUAGCUGGUCUGAGAGGAUGAUCAGCCACACUGGAACUGAGACACGGUCCAGACUCCUACGGGAGGCAGCAGUGGGGAAUAUUGGACAAUGGGCGCAAGCCUGAUCCAGCUAUACCGCGUGGGUGAAGAAGGCCUUCGGGUUGUAAAGCCCUUUUGUUGGGAAAGAAAAGCAGCAGGUUAAUACCCCGCUGUUCUGACGGUACCCAAAGAAUAAGCACCGGCUAACUUCGUG
rnacentral:rRNA from 1 species